rnacentral:rRNA from 1 species
UACGUAGGGUGCGAGCGUUGUCCGGAAUUAUUGGGCGUAAAGAGCUCGUAGGCGGUUUGUCACGUCUGCUGUGAAAACCCGCAGCUCAACUGUGGGCUUGCAGCUGAUACGGGCAGGCUUGAGUUCGGUAGGGGAGACUGGAAUUCCUGGUGUAGCGGUGAAAUGCGCAGAUAUCAGGAGGAACACCGGUGGCGAAGGCGGGUCUCUGGGCCGAUACUGACGCUGAGGAGCGAAAGCGUGGGGAGCGAACAGG